CGCAAGCACGCACACUGGCGACUGUAACAAUCCCGUCCGCCAUGGCUGCUACAUUGUAUCGAGCUCCCCGACAUUCUGCUCCACAGCCAUCGGCUCCCAUUCUGCCAUCGGUCAACCUCCACCAUGAAAACAUUUAAAGAGGAAGCAGAAUCCCACAGCCAGUUCCCACCCCUUUUAUGAUGAAAUGUUAUGACAUCAGCAGCCCCACGGCAGGAUAUCAGAGGCAGCAAUUGAAUGAAUGAAUGGGACCGCGGGAGUUUGUGCGACACUGCGAGCUUGAAGGGCUGCCACUGGAACAAAGACAUCAACGCGAGAGAAAUGUUAGAAAUGACAUUCAUUUUAAACAUAGUUUCUGUUUGUAAACCCCAACAUCUGCAGUUCCUUGUUUCUCGAAAACUUUGGUGUUGAGUUUACUUUCUAAUAAAAUCAAUGUAGGGCGCUUGUUGAACGCAAGACAGCCGCAGCAAUGACCAGAGUGCAACAUCAAAA